CUUAGCACUCGACCUAGUAACUCACGCGAGAAUUUCAUCUCACGGCGUAUCGUUUCAGUAAUUAGCGUAAUUAUCGUUUCGAACGACGAACGUGGAAAAGUAAGGCGAAGAAUAAGACAAAACGCCGAUGUACGACCGUCAAACUGAUGUACGGACUAUCGAUAACAAUUGGAACAGUGUUACAUAAGAUGAAUUUAUGAAUUGAAUUUAUAAAGAAGAUAUGAUAAUCGCGAAACGGUUCUCACACAUAUUUUGACAAUUUUUUACUGCGUUACUCGUCCUUCGUGUUAUUCUCUUCCUUGCGCAAUUGGAAUAUUAAAUUAACGUUGGACAGCAAUAAUAAAAUAAUAAUAAAAAUAAAAACGAUACACAGAUUUAAACAAUACGUUUAAUUUAAAUUUCAAAUAGAAUGGAAAUGAGAUUAUUUUC